rnacentral:rRNA from 1 species
CGCGUAGGCGGUUUUUUAAGUCAGAUGUGUAAUCCCCGAGCUUAACUUGGGAACUGCAUCUGAGACUGGAAGGCUAGAGUACUGGAGAGGGUGGUGGAAUUCCUCGUGUAGCGGUGAAAUGCGUAGAGAUGAGGAGGAACACCAGUGGCGAAGGCGGCCACCUGGACAGCAACUGACGCUGAGGCGCGAAAGUGUGGGUAGCAAACAGGAUUAGAUACCCUGGUAGUCCACGCUGUAAACGAUGAACACUUGGUGUGGAGGGAGUUGACCCCUUCCGUGCCGGAGCUAACGCGUUAAGUGUUCCGCCUGGGGAGUACGGUCGCAAGGCUGAA